CGGGGUGUAGCGCAGUUGGUAGCGCGCUUGGUUUGGGACCAAGAUGCCGCAGGUUCAAGUCCUGUCACUCCGACCA
rnacentral:tRNA from 1 species